rnacentral:lncRNA from 1 species
AUGGGUCAAUGGUCGAACCACUGAGUCAUUGGUCGAACCGCAUGACUGAAUCGGAACCACUCGGAUGACUCGGUUAGAUAACUCGGUCCUUAGAUUAAAUUUAUAUAGUUAUUUAACCGGAUUAACUCGGAUUGAAUCGGUGACUCGGUCACUUUAGAAACUAAAAUAAUUAAUGAGUGUUGUAAUUUAAAAAAAGUUUACAUUUAAGGACAAAAAUAAAAUCAAAUGGGUGUUUAAAUAUAUGGACGAAGAGAGUAAUACAUAUUCAAAUAAAUAUAGUAAAAU